rnacentral:tRNA from 1 species
GGGCAGGUGGUAGAGCGGUCAAUUACAACAGACUGUAAAUCUGUCGCCUCCGGGCUACGCAGGUUCGAAUCCUGCCCUGCCCACCA